UACGGGGGGGGCAAGCGUUGUUCGGAAUUACUGGGCGUAAAGGGCGAGUAGGCGGCCAACUAAGUCCGACGUGAAAUCCCCAGGCUUAACCUGGGAACUGCGUCGGAUACUGGAUGGCUUGAAUUCGGGAGAGGGAUGCGGAAUUCCAGGUGUAGCGGUGAAAUGCGUAGAUAUCUGGAGGAACACCGGUGGCGAAGGCGGGUCUCUGGGCCGUAACUGACGCUGAGGAGCGAAAGCGUGGGGAGCAAACAGG
rnacentral:rRNA from 1 species